rnacentral:rRNA from 1 species
GGGGGAAUUUUCCGCAAUGGGCGAAAGCCUGACGGAGCAAUGCCGCGUGGAGGUGGAAGGCCUACGGGUCGUCAACUUCUUUUCUCGGAGAAGAAACAAUGACGGUAUCUGAGGAAUAAGCAUCGGCUAACUCUGCGCCAG